rnacentral:rRNA from 1 species
UACGGAAGGCAGCAGUGGGGAAUAUUGCACAAUGGGCGCAAGCCUGAUGCAGCCAUGCCGCGUGUAUGAAGAAGGCCUUCGGGUUGUAAAGUACUUUCAGUCGUGAGGAAGGUGUUAAGGUUAAUAACCUUAGCAAUUGACGUUAGCGACAGAAGAAGCACCGGCUAACUCCGUGCCAGCAGCCGCGGUAAUACGGAGGGUGCGAGCGUUAAUCGGAAUUACUGGGCGUAAAGGGCACGCAGGCGGUUAAUUAAGUUGGAUGUGAAAUCCCCGGGCUUAACCUGGGAAUGGCAUUCAAGCUGGUUAGCUAGAGUCUUGUAGAGGGGGUAGAAUUCCAUGUGUAGCGGUGAAAUGCGUAGAGAUGUGGAGGAAUACCGGUGGCGAAGGCGGCCCCUGGGACAAAGACUGACGCUCAUGUGCGAAAGCGUGGGGAGCAAAC